GACGAACGCUGGCGGCGUGCUUAACACAUGCAAGUCGAACGGUGAAAGGGAGCUUGCUCCCUGGAUCAGUGGCGAACGGGUGAGUAACACGUGGGCAACCUGCCCCAGACUUCGGGAUAACGCUUCGAAAGAGGUGCUAAUACCGGAUACGAACUCCUUGGGCAUCCUUGGAGUUGGAAAGUUUUUCGGUCUGGGAUGGGCCCGCGGCCUAUCAGCUUGUUGGUGAGGUAACGGCUCACCAAGGCGACGACGGGUAGCCGGCCUGAGAGGGCGACCGGCCACACUGGGACUGAGACACUGCCCAGACUCCUACGGGAGGCAGCAGUGGGGAAUAUUGCGCAAUGGGCGAAAGCCUGACGCAGCAACGCCGCGUGAGGGAUGACGGCCUUCGGGUUGUAAACCUCUUUCAGCAGGGAAGAAGCGAAAGUGACGGUACCUGCAGAAGAAGCACCGGCUAACUACGUGCCAGCCGCCGCCGUAACAC
rnacentral:rRNA from 1 species